CCUACUCCUACGGGAGGCAGCAGUACUCCUUCGGGAGGCAGCAGUGGGGAAUAUUGCACAAUGGGCGAAAGCCUGAUGCAGCGACGCCGCGUGAGGGAUGACGGCCUUCGGGUUGUAAACCUCUUUCAGCAGGGAAGAAGCGAAAGUGACGUACCUGC
rnacentral:rRNA from 1 species